GGUGAGGUGGCCGAGUGGUCUAAGGCGGUAGGUUUAGGCCCUACUAUCUUCGGAUGCGUGGGUUCAAAUCCCACCCUCAUCAACA